AUUGAACGCUGGCGGCAGGCUUAACACAUGCAAGUCGAACGAGUGGCGGACGGGUGAGUAAUGCUUGGGAAUCUAGCUUAUGUAGGGGGCUAACUCGGGGAAACUGUAGCUAAUACCGCGUAACAUAGGAUGAGCCCAAGGGGGAGUAGGUAGUUGGUGAGGUAAAGGCUCACCAAGACGACGAUCGCUAGCUGGUCUGAGAGGAUGACCAGCCACACUGGGACUGAGACACGGCCCAGACUCCUACGGGAGGCAGCAGUGGGGAAUAUUGGGCAAUGGGGGCAACCUGACGCAGCCAUGCCGCGUGAAUGAAGAAGGCUUUCGGGUUGUAAAGUUCUUUCGGUAGCGAGGCGUUAACUACAGAAGAAGCAACGGCUAACUACGUGCCAGCAGCCGCGGUAAUAC
rnacentral:rRNA from 1 species